rnacentral:rRNA from 1 species
CGACGAGUCGAGUUGUUUGGGAAUGCAGCUCUAAGUGGGUGGUAAAUUCCAUCUAAAGCUAAAUAUUGGCGAGAGACCGAUAGCGAACAAGUACAGUGAUGGAAAGAUGAAAAGCACUUUGAAAAGAGAGUGAAACAGCACGUGAAAUUGUUGAAAGGGAAGGGCUUGCAAGCAGACACGGUUUUACCGGGCCAGCGUCGAAAAGGGGGGAGGAACAAGAACUCGAGAAUGUGGCGCGCACCUUCGGGCGCGCGUGUUAUAGCUCGUGUUGACGCCUCCAUCCCUUUUCGAGGCCUGCGAUUCUAGGACGCUGGCGUAAUGGUUGCAAGCCGCCCGUCUUGAAACACGGACCAAGGAGUCUAACGUCUAUGCGAGUGUUUGGGUGCAAAACCCCAGCGCGGAAUGAAAGUAAGAGGUUGGAGCCGCAAGGCGCACAAUCGACCGACCCUGAAGUGCUCGGACGGGUUUGAGUAGGAGCAUAGCUGUUGGGACCCGAAAGAUGGUGAACUAUGCCUGGAUAGGGUGAAGCCAGAGGAAACUCUGGUGG